rnacentral:lncRNA from 1 species
AUUCUGAGUGUAGAAUCUUUCAUGAAUUUAUUCAUUAAUUUUUAAAAAGCAAUUUAUUGAGUUCCUGUGCUUCAAUCUAACAGGGAAGAUAGACAAUUAAAUGACUACAACACAAAAUGAAAAUUGUUAUAAAUGAGAAGCACAGGGAAUUAUGGGAGCUCACAGGAGGCCCGCCAACUAAAAGGGUGGAAAAAACUUUCUGAACAACUUUUAAGCUGACUCCUGAAGAAUGAGGAGGACUUAUUUAAGCAAGUGUGGGGUGUUGGGGAUGGGAGACAGGGGUAAUUGUGUGUGUGUGUGUCUGUGUUCAGUGUGAGAAAGCAAGAAAGAAUGUUUCAAGAAUAAGACAAUGGCAUGCGUGAAGCCGAAGUAAAGAAAGCACAGAGAUUUUAAGAAAUUGCAAGGGCUGAGUAUGGCUAGAAUAUAGCAUACGAUGGGGAGAUGGACACACUGAGAGAAGAACUGGACAGGCACUGGGGAGCCACUGAAAAUUCUUAAGCAGAAGACCAAGGCAACUAGACACCAGCCAUCAAGAGCUGCUUAUGCGG